CGGAUCGGAGUCUGNAACCCGACUCCGUGAAGCUGGAUUCGCUGUAAUCGCGCAUCAGCCAUGGCGCGGUGAAUACGUUCCCGGGCCUUGUACACACCGCCCGUCAAGCCAUGGAAGCCGGGGGCGCUUGAAGUGCGUUGCCGCAAGGCGCGCCCUAGAGCGAAACCGGUGACUGGGGCUAAGUCGUAACAAGGUAGC
rnacentral:rRNA from 1 species